rnacentral:rRNA from 1 species
UGGGGAAUAUUGCACAAUGGGCGCAAGCCUGAUGCAGCCAUGCCGCGUGUGUGAAGAAGGCCUUCGGGUUGUAAAGCACUUUCAGCGGGGAGGAAGGCGUUAAGGUUAAUAACCUUGGCGAUUGACGUUACCCGCAGAAGAAGCACCGGCUAACUACGUGCCAGCAGCCGCGGUAAUACGUAGGUGGCAAGCGUUGUCCGGAUUUAUUGGGCGUAAAGCGAGCGCAGGCGGUUUCUUAAGUCUGAUGUGAAAGCCCCCGGCUCAACCGGGGAGGGUCAUUGGAAAAUGGGAGACUUGAGUGCAGAAGAGGAGAGUGGAAUUCCAUGUGUAGCGGUGAAAUGAGUAGAUAUAUGGAGGAACACCAGUGGCGAAGGCGGCUCUCUGGUCUGUAACUGACGCUGAGGCUCGAAAGCGUGGGGAGCAAACAGG